UUAUUUAUUUUUUGACAGAGUCUUGCUGUGUCACCCAGGCUGGAAUGCCGUGGCACAAUCUCGGCUCAACCUCCACCUCCUGGGUUCAAGUGAUUCUUCUGUCUCAGCCUCCUGAGUAGCUGGGACUACAGGAAGAGUGCACAGGAGCCUGGCACUCCUGGACCUGAGGAAACCCUGAAACUGUUGGUAUUUGCAGAUCCUCUCCAAAAAGAGUUCACCGAUCUCCUAAGACUGCAAACCUGACCCCAGCAUGCUGGGAGCCAAGAGGGUCUGCGGAUCUCCCUGCUUAGCAAAUUGUGUGUAUAUAUAUACACACACACACAAUGAAAUACUAUUCAGCCUGAAAAGAAGAAAAUCCUGCCACUUAUGGCAACAGGGAUGAAUUUGAAGGACAUUAUGUUAAGUAAAAUAAACCAG
rnacentral:lncRNA from 1 species